rnacentral:rRNA from 1 species
CCUACGGGGGGCAGCAGUGGGGAAUAUUGGACAAUGGGGGGAACCCUGAUCCAGCGACGCCGCGUGAGUGAAGAAGUAUUUCGGUAUGUAAAGCUCUAUCAGCAGGGAAGGAAGAAAUGACGGUACCUGACUAAGAAGCCCCGGCUAACUCCGUGCCAGCAGCCGCGGUAAUACGGAGGAUCCGAGCGUUAUCCGGAUUCAUUGGGUUUAAAGGGUGCGUAGGUUGUUUUAUAAGUUAGCGGUGAAAUACCGAUGCUCAACAUCGGGGCUGCCGCUGAUACUGUAGGACUAGAGAUCGGAUGCGGCAGGCGGAAUGUGUAGUGUAGCGGUGAAAUGCAUAGAUAUUAGGAAGAACACCAGUGGCGAAGGCGGAUUACUGGACGAUAACUGACGGUGAGGCGCGAAAGCGUGGGGAGCAAACAGGAUUAGAUACCCGAGUAGUC